rnacentral:piRNA from 1 species
ACGGUGGACGACGUGAGAAGACGCUUGGC